rnacentral:rRNA from 1 species
UACGGGGGGGGCAAGCGUUGUUCGGAAUUACUGGGCGUAAAGGGCUCGUAGGUGGCCAACUAAGUCAGACGUGAAAUCCCUCGGCUUAACCGGGGAACUGCGUCUGAUACUGGAUGGCUUGAGUUUGGGAGAGGGACGCGGAAUUCCAGGUGUAGCGGUGAAAUGCGUAGAUAUCUGGAGGAACACCGAUGGCGAAGGCAGCUCGCUGGGACGGAACUGACGCUAAGGCGCGAAAGCGUGGGGAGCGAACAGG